GAUGAAGAACGCAGCGAAAUGCGAUACGUAAUGUGAAUUGCAGAAUUCAGUGAAUCAUCGAGUCUUUGAACGCACAUUGCGCCCCCUGGUAUUCCGGGGGGCAUGCCUGUCCGAGCGUCAUUGCUGCCCUCAAGCACGGCUUGUGUGUUGGGCUCCGUCCCCCCGGGGACGGGUCCGAAAGGCAGCGGCGGCACCGAGUCCGGUCCUCGAGCGUAUGGGGCUUUGUCACCCGCUCUGUAGGCCCGGCCGGCGCCAGCCGACAACCAAUCAUCCUUUUUUCAGGUUGACCUCGGAUCAGGUAGGGAUACCCGCUGAACUUAAGCAUAUCAAUAAGCGGAGGA
rnacentral:misc_RNA from 1 species